rnacentral:rRNA from 1 species
AUUGAACGCUGGCGGCAUGCCUUACACAUGCAAGUCGAACGGCAGCACGGUUGCUUGCACCUGGUGGCGAGUGGCGAACGGGUGAGUAAUACAUCGGAACAUGUCCUGUAGUGGGGGAUAGCCCGGCGAAAGCCGGAUUAAUACCGCAUACGAUCCACGGAUGAAAGCGGGGGACCUUCGGGCCUCGCGCUAUAGGGUUGGCCGAUGGCUGAUUAGCUAGUUGGUGGGGUAAAGGCCUACCAAGGCGACGAUCAGUAGCUGGUCUGAGAGGGCGACCAGCCACACUGGGACUGAGACACGGCCCAGACUCCUACGGGAGGCAGCAGUGGGGAAUUUUGGACAAUGGGCGAAAGCCUGAUCCAGCAAUGCCGCGUGUGUGAAGAAGGCCUUCGGGUUGUAAAGCACUUUUGUCUGGAAAGAAAUCCUUGGCUCUAAUACAGUCGGGGGAUGACGGUACCGGAAGAAUAAGCACCGGCUAACUACGU